UCGAAUCGGAUGAACGAGAAGAAAAGGGGGGGAAAAUCAGUGAUUAAUUUUUUUUAUUUUUCGUUGUUGAAAAAUCUCGGGUUCCGAAUGAAAAGUACUCUGGUUCGUCUUCGCCAUCAGAAACCCUAGACCGAAAUCUUCUCCUGAUUGCUAACUCAUGAUCGGAAUCCAUUUGUUUCUUGAGAAAUUUUUAGGGUUUUGGUUGGUUCUAUUAGAUGAGCAAAUGAAGUGAAAUGAUCUUAAAUUCUCCGAACGUGGAUGUGGUUGAUUUCCUUUCGACGGAUUCGAACACAGACGGACUGAUCAUCGGACUUGGUUAAGACAGGGUUGUUCGGUGAGGAAGAAACAUGGAAGUGACUGCUGCUACUGCUCUUGUGUUCUUGGUUCCUGUCGGAUGACAAACUUGAGGGUUUUAGGCCGCAGGAGCGUUAAAUGUAUCCGUAAAACGAUUGAGACUGGGGAGACAUGUUUUCACUUGGCGACCAUACUUUUGCAUAUAUUUUGUGAUUCUUUAAACUGGAGCCAUAGGUUUGUAUAUAUACGAGGGACAAAGAUGCAUGCUAGGCACCGGAAUAUAGGAAAUGGCUACAGAUCUGGCUCAGUCGGGAUGGGGUUGCCAUCUUCUAGAAUUCCACCAGAUGGUUCUAUGCGUGGUCAUGGGUUUCAUGGUUCAGCCCGUCAUGGCUCGAACCGUGGAUACGGACGUGGCCGUGUACACCCAAAGUCAUACCAAAACCAGCCACUUCCACCUACUCCACCACUCCAACGCAAAGGUGGUGGUGACAUUUUCAUGGAAGCUGGUCGUCUGGCAGCAGAGUACUUGGUUUCUCGGGGUGUCUUACCGCCAACCGUGCUGUCUGGUGAAUGGCAGAAUGUUAAUUUGAGGAAACAGGCAGGAGAGUUACAAGGUUUUAGGUCACAAGAAACACGGACGGGUGUUUCUGCUCCAGAUGCGGAUAAGGGAAGGUUUGUUGAUGAUUAUAGCUCCACGGGCUACAGGAGUUACGUGAAGGGAAGGAGGUCCAACCGAUAUGGCUCUGCUUUUGGGAGGAACGGAUCAUGGUCAGACAGAAGACAUAAGGCUACUGAUGUCGAAGCUGACACUGAUUCUGUGUCUGGCCAGACACUACCUGAAGACAUUACUAGCUCGGUUCAGAGGUCGAACUCGGGUUACUCUGCAAGAAAACGGGAAGGGGCAGGUGAUUCAGAGUCCGAGUUGGAUAAGUAUAAUCUUCAGGAUGAGGCACAAUCUAAGACAGGCUCUUCUAGUGUUGGGAAAGAUACAGCGAAUGAUGUGGCAAUCUCAAAAGUAUCUGAAGGUUCAUCUAGCUUGAGUGCUGGAUCUGGAGUGCUGAAGGGUGGAAAUUCCAAUGGCGGAGGGAAUGAGAACCAAGCUUGUGUGGAGGGCUCGUCUAUGAAGAAUGGUGUUGAUCUAUUAACGAUAUGUAAAUUCGCCAAGGUGCCUACCAGGACACGCUCUUCUCUAACAGCCAAAGUUCCAAAACUUGAUUCGAGUGAAAAUAUCGUGGGAAGCUCUCAUACUCCUGGAAUUGCAGACAAAACUCAAAUCCCAGGUCCAGUGCAUUCAUCUGGAAAAGCUGAUAAUCCUGAAUGUACUGGCAAUGAACAUAUUGACCCCUCUAACCCCAUUGGAGACUUAGGUCACGCUCUUAUGGUUGAGAAGAGUAAAUGUCAUAGGUCCAAUUCCUUCCCUGGCAGUAUCCUCAUGGACAAUGUUGCAAAGAAUCCAGGACUGGAGUUGGCUGAUCUGCAUAGGUCACAGUCGAUGGGGAAGGGAAGAGGGGAGAAACGAGCUGCAGAAGAUGGUGAUUUGGAUGGAGCAAAGAGACAGAGAGAGUGGCUGCCAUCUCUUGCUUCUGAAAUAGACAACAUUGCAGAUGAGGAAAAAACGCUCAUAUUCGAAGAGAAAGUGGUAGAGAGUAUGAUGAAGGGUAUUGUCCAUGAUGGGUUGGUGGAUAACUCAACGCAUGAUCUGGUACAAGUACAAGACGGAAAAUCAUGUGGUGGGUAUGCAGAAGAGCGGGAGCUGUUUCCUGGUUCAUUUAAGAUCUGUGACCUUAAUCUAGAGGGAGCAUCAGAUGCGAAUGAGAACAAUAUUGACGAUCCUAUGAUCAUUUUUCCUGCCGUUUCAGGACCCAAAGGGGAACUCGAUCGAGUUGAUUUUGAUCUCGCGAUAAGCAGUUCAAGCAAGCCUCUUGAGCACAAUACUCGGAUAAGCAAUGAUAAAGAGAUAGAAGUGAUUGACUUGGAGAACGAUUCCCCUGAAGUGGAAUAUGCCUGCAGUAAUUCUGAUAGAAAGCAAGAAGCUCCAUUUAUGGGAUUUUCUCAUCAGUCCGAGUCAGUAAACGAGAUCCACGAUGUCCGGGAUUACAAUGAAGGGCUCAUGAUGGUAGAGUUUAUCGAUUCUUUUGGAAACAUCCCUCCAAUGAACCUGGGAAUCAAUUCAGUGCCCGAGGGCAUUAAUCACAUGCCACAGGACGAGAUUGGCCUGCAAAAUCCAGAGGGAGCUACCACUCUUGGGAGUGAUCAGAUUCCUCACGCAGACGAUGAGUCCAUAUUCAUGUCCCUGGGAGAAAUACCGUUGAGUAAGCAAGCCACUUUCUUUCCUUCUUGCAAGCCUGGGACCAGCCACCGGCUCGGGGCUACCAUAAGCCUUUCUGAGCCAGUGACCGCACCUUAAGCAUCAAAUGAGUAGAUGCUUCUGCCGCUGGUUAUGCAUUCUGAUCACAGAAAUCGCAAGUUUGGCAUUGGAGAAGAAGGAGAAGCGAACCAGGCUUGGUUGGCGACUUGUGUAAUGUGACGGUUAAGCUCUGGGGAAAGGAGCGGACAAAGGAGAUUUUGAAUUUCGGGCAGCAUCAUGAAAAAGUUGACAGACCACACAACACAUCACACCACACAUGUCCUUAUUAUUGGACGCUUCUGCCUUUUUUUUUUUUUUUAAAACUAUCUGUUUAUUAUUGUACCAUCCAUUAGACGUAGACAGACCAUUUUUUUUUUCAACUCUUUCUUGACUUUCUUUUAAUAUAUUCUAAAUAUUUUUUAAAAAUGGUCUACAGGAUUCAAACCAUUGCAUUUUUAAUA